AUUGAACGCUGGCGGCAUGCUUUACACAUGCAAGUCGAACGGUAACAGGCCUUCGGGUGCUGACGAGUGGCGCACGGGUGAGUAAUGCAUCGGAACGUGCCCAGAGGUGGGGGAUAACGCAGCGAAAGCUGUGCUAAUACCGCAUGUGAUCUGAGGAUGAAAGCGGGGGACCAAGCAGCAAUGUUUGGCCUCGCGCCUCUGGAGCGGCCGAUGUCAGAUUAGGUAGUUGGGGGGGUAAAGGCCUACCAAGCCGACGAUCUGUAGCUGGUCUGAGAGGACGACCAGCCACACUGGGACUGAGACACGGCCCAGACUCCUACGGGAGGCAGCAGUGGGGAAUUUUGGACAAUGGGCGCAAGCCUGAUCCAGCAAUGCCGCGUGCGGGAAGAAGGCCUUCGGGUUGUAAACCGCUUUUGUACGGAACGAAAAGGCUCUGGCUAAUACCUGGGGCUGAUGACGGUACCGUAAGAAUAAGCACCGGCUAACUACGUG
rnacentral:rRNA from 1 species